GGGGCAAAUUAUUUUUGGAAAGAUCCUCUCAAAAAGAAUCAAGAAAAAUUCAAAAAAAAAAAAAUCAAAAAUCAAGUUCAAAUUCUUGUUUCUGGGAAAAUCAAAUUUAAUUUCUGGUUUUUUGACAAAUCAAAUUCAAUUUCUUGACCAAUUGGAUGGCAGGACUGGGUCUUAUCCCACUGACCAUUCACAAACUUCACAAAAAUCACGUUGGGCCUGGAUUUUGUGCCGCCAACUUCACAAACAUCACGUUGGGCCUGGACUUGGUGCCGCCAACAUCACAAAGUUCACGUUGGGCCUGGAUUUUGUGCCGCCAACUUCACAAACAUCACGUUGGGUUUGGAUUUUGUACCACCAAUUAAGGCAGGCUCGGGUUUAAUCCCACUGACCAAUUCAUCACACUGGGGCAAAUUUUUGGAUAAAUUUUUCGAGUAAAUCUUAUACAGUUUCUUCAUACCUGCCACUAGCCGUUGGGUCAGUCCCACUAGUGCGCAUUUCAUUUUGCACGGCCGCUAGCCGUUGGGUCAGUCCCACUAGUGAGCCUUUCAUUUUUCAUUGCCGCUAAACAUGGGUCAGUCCCACUAGCGUGCAUUUCAUUUACACUGCCACUGAACAUGGGAUAGUCCCACCAGUGUGC
rnacentral:lncRNA from 1 species